UUUCUUUUCAGGUUCAUAAGCAUGAUGAUCAGGUUUUCACAUGCCUGUGUGAUAUGUGCCUCCCUUCAACCUUGUUAGGACAGCAUAUAACCCUUCUGACA